rnacentral:rRNA from 1 species
AACGAACGCUGGCGGCAGGCUUAACACAUGCAAGUCGAGCGCCCCGCAAGGGGAGCGGCAGACGGGUGAGUAACGCGUGGGAAUCUACCCAUCCCUACGGAACAACUCCGGGAAACUGGAGCUAAUACCGUAUACGCCCUUCGGGGGAAAGAUUUAUCGGGGAUGGAUGAGCCCGCGUUGGAUUAGCUAGUUGGUGGGGUAAUGGCCUACCAAGGCGACGAUCCAUAGCUGGUCUGAGAGGAUGAUCAGCCACACUGGGACUGAGACACGGCCCAGACUCCUACGGGAGGCAGCAGUGGGGAAUAUUGGACAAUGGGCGAAAGCCUGAUCCAGCCAUGCCGCGUGAGUGAUGAAGGCCCUAGGGUUGUAAAGCUCUUUCGCAGGUGAAGAUAAUGACGGUAACCUGAGAAGAAGCCCCGGCUAACUUCGUGCCAGCAGCCGCAGUAACAC